UACGUAGGGUGCAAGCGUUAAUCGGAAUUACUGGGCGUAAAGCGUGCGCAGGCGGUUAUGCAAGACAGAUGUGAAAUCCCCGGGCUUAACCUGGGAACUGCAUUUGUGACUGCAUAGCUGGAGUACGGCAGAGGGGAUGGAAUUCCGCGUGUAGGCAGUGAAAUGCGUAGAUAUGCGGAGGAACACCGAUGGCGAAGGCAGUCCCCUGGGCCUGUACUGACGCUCAUGCACGAAAGCGUGGGAGCAAACAGG
rnacentral:rRNA from 1 species